UCCAUCUAUGCACGUAAGCCAAAGAUGACUUUCAUCACAAUAUAAGCAUGAGGAUGAUGACAAUGAUAUAAGCAUUAAUCAAACAAAAUCAAGGAUAAAUAUUAAAGACUUUAAAUUUAUCCAGAGUUUAAAAAUAUCCAAAUUGUCAACAUGAUACUGCUUUGUGGAGUAAAAUUCAAGAAUAAUAUUCAUGUACCAAAAAUAAUUUGGAUAGAAAAGAAAUAUAUUUUUUGGGUAAAUAGUACCCCGUAAAUAGUAACUCAUAAAUAGUAACUCGUAAAUAGUACUCCGUAUUCGUACAUAAUACCGUAUACAUAAAUAAUGUCAUAAACGCAAAUAGUGCCAUAUACAUGAAUAGUGUCGUAUAUGUGAAUAGUAUCGUAUACGUGAAUAGUAACCCCGACACAAAAAAGAUAAAGUUUCACAAUAAAAUCCAUAUCAAUAUUUAUAACACCUUAAUCCAAAU
rnacentral:lncRNA from 1 species